UGGGGUGUGGCUCAGUGGUAGAGCAUCUGCCUAGAAUGUAGAAGGCUUUGGGCACCAUCCCCA
rnacentral:tRNA from 1 species